GACGAACGCUGGCGGCGUGCUUAACACAUGCAAGUCGAACGGAAAGGCCCUGCUUGCAGGGUACUCGAGUGGCGAACGGGUGAGUAACACGUGGGUGAUCUGCCCUGCACUUCGGGAUAAGCCUGGGAAACUGGGUCUAAUACCGGAUAGGAGCCAUUUUUAGUGUGAUGGUUGGAAAGUUUUUUCGGUGUAGGAUGAGCUCGCGGCCUAUCAGCUUGUUGGUGGGGUAAUGGCCUACCAAGGCGGCGACGGGUAGCCGGCCUGAGAGGGUGGACGGCCACAUUGGGGCUGGGAUACGGCCCAGACUCCCACGGGAGGCAGCAGUGGGGAAUAUUGCACAAUGGGCGCAAGCCUGGUGCAGCGACGCCGCGUGGGGGAUGACGGCCUUCGGGUUGUAAACUCCUUUCGCUAGGGACGAAGCUUUUUGUGACGGUACCUAGAUAAGAAGCACCGGCUAACUACGUG
rnacentral:rRNA from 1 species